ensembl:lncRNA
CUUAAACAGAUUUACUUUCAGCUGUGGUCUCAUCUCUAUCACUGGCAUGAUCCUAAAAUAGCAUGUUAUAGAAUAGAACCUAAUAGCCUAAUACUGAAUAUUAAUUCAAUCAUACUGACGUUCCUUGGUUACCUUGCGGUGUCAAGUCAAGUAGCCUGCUUAAUAUUCAUAAGCCAAACCUUCACCGUAGUAGGAUUGGAUAAUGCGCGCGUUGGGGGAGGGCCCUCAUCACUCACGGCGCUGAAGAGAGUGAGCACCGGUGGCGCAUCCACAACUCCCGUGUCCAUUCAAAACAGUCGGCAUUGUACAAGUGCAAGUCACGCACACGGAUAUACCGGCCGUGAGUCAGUCAGGAUACUUUUUGCAAGCAAUCUUUGUGAAGCUGAAGAGAUUACACUCAUAUGGAGUGAGGUGCUGUUGCUGUAAUGGAGCUCAGCAGGGGAGAGGUGCCACUUUAUGUGAGUCUGACAGAGCGAUUUUUAUUUUUCUGAUGUCCUGUCACUCUCAGUUUAACUUAUGAAGUUCUAUUCUUUCAUUGUACCUUCAGGAUCUGUCCUUUCAAUUCUCUCAGGGUGCCAAAGGACAAAACUCAUUUAUUAAAGACUUUACCUGUGCAUGAGUGAAAACUCCUCUAGAAACUGUUCUGGUUGUCCAAGCUUCUGCAUUUUAUGGACAGUGUCUCUCAUAACCAUGUUUACAUUCUGUUUAUAAAAUUAUAGAUAACAGGAACAGAAAGUUUAAGUCUAACUUGUAUUCAAAUAGUGUGGUACAGUUUGUGUUUUCAGUUGUUUAUUACCUUAGUCUUGUGAAAUUGCCUCUCUGGAAGUAGGUACAGUUAUUGUGUCUUAAAGAGAAACAAACCUGAAUAACUUUGAUAUUUUGAAAAAAGUUUCAACUGUUGUUGUUUAUACAGUCAAAAUCAGUGGGGUUCAAAACAACACUGGACCCCACUGUCAUUCACUGUGGAAGAAAAAGGGCAAAACAAAAGACACUAAAACAGUAUUCAAAAUGUCAUUUACACCCUCUUACUCCUUGCAUAUAUAAUUUCAGAAAGCUAUGCUAAUGCUGACAGAAUCCAAAAGAAAACACUUUCUCUAAUCCCUAAGAUUUGUGAUGAAAUGGCUGUUAAAGUUUAUUACCUUCAUUAACUUCCCUUAGAUUAUUACUAAGAAAACUUUAGUACUUUAAACUAUAGUACUUUACUGAAUCAUUUAGCCAUUAAAUUUUUACAAACUGACAGAAGCAAUUCUGCUGGAGUAACCUCGGUCACUCCUUGCAAGGUUCAAACCUUCAACCUUUUUAUUAGUAGCCCAAAUCUUUAAACCCUAGGCUACAGGAGUAGAUGUUUGAGAGGUGUUGAUCCCUGGACAGGAGGCCAUUGUGAAUCUGAAGCUCUCUUCAUCGUAUGCUGGCUCAGCUGUAUAAUAACACACAAUCCUUCUCUGUGACCUCAUUAUAAAAGAGGGGCACUAUGUGCUAGUUGUGUAAGCUUUUUAAGGUGUGUGUGACUAUGAUGGGGAUAAUGUGUUAUUGUAAAGGGAUAUGUUGAGAGUUUAAAGCAGACUUGCAUAGUGUCAACUCCCAACUCCCUGUACAGCACUGCAGACAAACAGUCUCAUUCACUCAGAGCUAAAAGCAAUUAGUGUGUGUGUUAAAUGCUUUCAGGUGUUCCUGGCCCCAUAUGUGGUACCUAGUGUGUUUGAGGAAGUGUUUUUUUACUUUCAAAUAUGUGCUGCUUGAUCAGUAGUCCAAAUAAAAGGGUUAUAUAUGUUUUAGAAGAUUUUAUUUUUUUUAAGUCUAAUAUGUUCCCCA